UACAGAGGGUGCAAGCGUUGUCCGGAAUUAUUGGGCGUAAAGAGCUCGUAGGUGGGGUGGCGCGUCUGCCGGGAAAGCCCAUGGCUUAACUGUGGGUCUGCGGUGGAUACGGGCAGGCUAGAGGCUGGUAGGGGCAAGCGGAAUUCCUGGUGUAGCGGUGAAAUGCGCAGAUAUCAGGAGGAACACCGGUGGCGAAGGCGGCUUGCUGGGCCAGUUCUGACGCUGAGGAGCGAAAGCGUGGGGAGCGAACAGG
rnacentral:rRNA from 1 species